AUGCUGUGAGCUCGAUGAGUAGGGCGGGACACGUGGUAUCCUGUCUGAAUAUGGGGGGACCAUCCUCCAAGGCUAAAUACUCCUGACUGACCGAUAGUGAACCAGUACCGUGAGGGAAAGGCGAAAAGAACCCCGGCGAGGGGAGUGAAAAAGAACCUGAAACCGUGUACGUACAAGCAGUGGGAGCACGCUUAGGCGUGUGACUGCGUACCUUUUGUAUAAUGGGUCAGCGACUUAUAUUCUGUAGCAAGGUUAACCGAAUAGGGGAGCCGAAGGGAAACCGAGUCUUAACUGGGCGUUAAGUUGCAGGGUAUAGACCCGAAACCCGGUGAUCUAGCCAUGGGCAGGUUGAAGGUUGGGUAACACUAACUGGAGGACCGAACCGACUAAUGUUGAAAAAUUAGCGGAUGACUUGUGGCUGGGGGUGAAAGGCCAAUCAAACCGGGAGAUAGCUGGUUCUCCCCGAAAGCUAUUUAGGUAGCGCCUCGUGAAUUCAUCUCCGGGGGUAGAGCACUGUUUCGGCAAGGGGGUCAUCCCGACUUACCAACCCGAUGCAAACUGCGAAUACCGGAGAAUGUUAUCACGGGAGACACACGGCGGGUGCUAACGUCCGUCGUGAAGAGGGAAACAACCCAGACCGCCAGCUAAGGUCCCAAAGUCAUGGUUAAGUGGGAAACGAUGUGGGAAGGCCCAGACAGCCAGGAUGUUGGCUUAGAAGCAGCCAUCAUUUAAAGAAAGCGUAAUAGCUCACUGGUCGAGUCGGCCUGCGCGGAAGAUGUAACGGGGCUAAACCAUG
rnacentral:rRNA from 1 species